rnacentral:rRNA from 1 species
CCUGGUUGAUUCUGCCAGUAGUCAUAUGCUUGUCUCAAAGAUUAAGCCAUGCAUGUCUAAGUAUAAGCAAUUAUACCGCGAAACUGCGAAUGGCUCAUUAAAUCAGUUAUCGUCUAUUUGAUAGUACCUUACUACUUGGAUAACCGUGGUAAUUCUAGAGCUAAUACAUGCUGAAAACCCCGACUUCGGAAGGGAUGUAUUUAUUAGAUUAAAAACCAAUGCCCUCCGGGGCUCCCUGGUGAUUCAUAAUAACUGCUCGAAUCGCACGGCCUUGCGCCGGCGAUGGUUCAUUCAAAUUUCUGCCCUAUCAACUUUCGACGGCUGGGUCUUGGCCAGCCAUGGUGACAACGGGUAACGGAGGGUUAGGGCUCGACCCCGGAGAAGGAGCCUGAGAAACGGCUACUACAUCCAAGGAAGGCAGCAGGCGCGCAAUUACCCAAUCCCGACGCGGGGAGGUAGUGACAAUAAAUACUGAUACAGGGCUCUUUUGGGUCUUGUAAUUGGAAUGAGUACAAUUUAAUUCCCUUAACGAGGAACAAUUGGAGGGCAAGUCUGGUGCCAGCAGCCGCGGUAAUUCCAGCUCCAAUAGCGUAUAUUAAAGUUGUUGCAGUUAAAAAGCUCGUAGUUGAACCUUGGGCCUGGCUGGCCGGUCCGCCUCACCGCGUGCACUGGUCCGGCCGGGCCUUUCCCUCUGGGGAGCCGCAUGCCCUUCACUGGGCGUGCCGGGGAACCAGGACGUUUACUUUGAAAAAAUUAGAGUGUUCAAAGCAGGCUUAUGCUCGGAUACAUUAGCAUGGAAUAAUAGAAUAGGACGCGCGGUUCUAUUUUGUUGGUUUCUAGGACCGCCGUAAUGAUUAAUAGGGACAGUCGGGGGCAUCAGUAUUCAAUUGUCAGAGGUGAAAUUCUUGGAUCUAUUGAAGACUAACUACUGCGAAAGCAUUUGCCAAGGAUGUUUUCAUUAAUCAGGA